UUGAGAGAAGGAUAAGCUAAUAGACUUUGGUAGCUUUGGAGUAGACUUUUACAUGCUAUUUGAUGAUAAUUGGAGCGGCUGUUUAAACUCUGCCAUUAUCAGCGCAUUCCGCUGUUGAUGGAAUGUAGAGUAUUUCUAGGCUUCUAACCUUUUUAAGCAGAGCUGCCUCAGAACUGGAAUAAUCUUUCACUGGGUAAAGCCACCGUUUAAGCUCCCCUGGCGUUGCCUUUUCACUCCCCUGAAGAAGAUAACACGGAGCCAUUGUUCUGUCUCCAUGCUGCUGAGCUUGCUGAGUUCCUCUUGGAAGUGGCUCAAUGUCCUAUCCCUAGCUCUGAAUGUAUUGCCACAACAAAGAGCGGGAUAGAGGGAGCGACAGUUGCCAGAAGAGAAUUCACUGGAAACCAUGAGAAUUCAGCUAGCUCAUCUCUACGUCUUUCCAGUCUUUUGCAGGUGCAUCUUAUGGUCUGGAGCGAAAAAUAUGGUACUUCCUCUGAAGCUUGUCUCCAUCCUGCAAGGGAAAUAGAAGGUACCUAAAACAACAAGGACUCUUGUGGUGCCUUGAAGACUGAUGAAUGGAUAAAAAAAACCUUAUGGAAUAUGCAGAAAUGGCAAAACUUACUGGGAGAAUAAGACGUCAAGAUAACACACUUUUUAUAAAAGAAUGGAAAUGGUUUAUGGAAUAUUUACAGAUAAAUUGCAAACUGAUA